GAGAAGCAUUUCGUCAAAAAAUGUCACCAAAACAUUAUAGUAUGUCCUCAAAAAUGGUCCCAAAUGGCACCAAAAGGUCAUAGUAUAACAGAACUGGCACCAAAAUAUAGGACCUUUUAAACGAUACUAAAGAGACAUCCCUCUGUUUGAAGGGGCCAGAAGAUAAAAAGAUAAAUCUCACCGAUAUGUUGUGACAGUUGUCUGCUCUCUUCCCUCAUCUCGACAGGACGACUAUGUUCUGGAGGUUAAAUACUACCGCGCCCCCCGCUGGCCGAAUCCAGACAGUCCCAUCAGCAACACCUUCGAGCUCCUUAACCUGCUGAAAGAGGAGAGUGCAGUCAAGGACGGCCCCAGUGUGGUCCACGAUGAUGUGGGUGGAGUCACGGCAGGAACGUUCUGUGCCCUAUCAUCUCUGACUCGUCAGCUGGAGGCCGAAGGUUUGGUUGACGUCUUCCAAGUAGCCAAGCUGACAAACCUCAUGAGACCAGGAAUCUUCAGCGACAUCGAGCAGUAUCAGUUCCUUUACAAAGCCAUGCUGAGUCUCAUCGGGACGCAAGAAGACGAAAAAACCCUCCAGUCAUCGGACAACAACGGUACCAUCGUGGUGGGAACCGCCAGCACCGCAGAGAGCCUUGAAUCCCUGGUGUAACUGCCCAAAACAAAAACACAAAGAACUCUUGUUUAACUUUUACAAAUGUGCAUUUUGUCCUUCCACUUCAACCACCAACAGAACUUCUCCGACUUUCGCUGGAUCUGGACUCCCUGCGGUUUUGUACUGUGUGCCUUUUUGUAUUUUUCCAUCCUGUACUUCUAACUUUGAUACAUGCUGUAGACUAACUGUCUGAUGUUAUAACGCUGUACCGCUCUGAGACGUUUCAACUCCACUAACAAACUUUUGUAUUUAUUGGCACUGAGCCAAACGGGAAAAAAAGGGAAAACUGCAUCUUUUUACAUUAAAUGAGAUAUUUUGAUAGCUUGUCUUUUAUAGAACUCCUGCACUGAACUCCUUUCUGUAAAUACCAUCGCGACGGUAGCAGCAGUGUGCUAUUGAAGUCAAAUAUAAAAUAAGGGCCUGGAAUAAUAAUAAAAAAAAUAAUAAUAAUCUAAUGUAAAUAAUAUUAUAGUAAUCAACUCGAUGGACCAAAUUUCUAUUUAUACUUUUAGAUUUUUAUAUUUUACCAUUUUUAGUGUAUUCAAAUGUUAUGGUUUAAUUCUACUGGUUUAGUUGGAGAAUAUUAAUGCUUUUAUAUUCUGGAUUUUGUAACAGACUAAAUGUGAUGCAUGGGGUACUGACAUGUUUGUUUUUUUUAGCUGGACAUGAAACACUGCUGGAUUAUUAGUUAGGGGAUUAAAUAAGUGAAAGAACACCAAAGAAA